GCUGGGCGUGGUGGCGGGCGCCUGUAGUCCCAGCUACUCUGGAGGCUGAGGCAGGAGAAUCACUGGAACCCAGAAGGUGGAGGUUGCAGUGAGCCGAGACCGUGCCACUGCACUCCAGCCUGGGUGACAGAGUGAGACCCUGUCUCAA
ensembl:misc_RNA Metazoa_SRP Metazoan signal recognition particle RNA